rnacentral:rRNA from 1 species
UGGGGAAUAUUGGACAAUGGGCGAAAGCCUGAUCCAGCCAUGCCGCGUGUGUGAAGAAGGUCUUCGGAUUGUAAAGCACUUUAAGUUGGGAGGAAGGGCAGUAACCUAAUACGUUGCUGUCUUGACGUUACCGACAGAAUAAGCACCGGCUAACUCUGUGCCAGCAGCCGCGGUAAUACAGAGGGUGCAAGCGUUAAUCGGAAUUACUGGGCGUAAAGCGCGCGUAGGUGGUUUGUUAAGUUGGAUGUGAAAUCCCCGGGCUCAACCUGGGAACUGCAUUCAAAACUGACAAGCUAGAGUAUGGUAGAGGGUGGUGGAAUUUCCUGUGUAGCGGUGAAAUGCGUAGAUAUAGGAAGGAACACCAGUGGCGAAGGCGACCACCUGGACUGAUACUGACACUGAGGUGCGAAAGCGUGGGGAGCAAACAGGAUUAGAUACCCUAGUAGUCCCUGAGCGGGCUGGCAAGGCGCAU